UACGGAGGGUGCAAGCGUUAUCCGGAUUCACUGGGUUUAAAGGGUGCGUAGGUGGGUUUGUAAGUCAGUGGUGAAAUCUCCAAGCUUAACUUGGAAACUGCCGUUGAUACUAUAAAUCUUGAAUGUUGUGGAGGUGAGCGGAAUAUGUCAUGUAGCGGUGAAAUGCUUAGAUAUGACAUAGAACACCAAUUGCGAAGGCAGCUCACUACACAAAGAUUGACACGGAGGCACGAAAGCGUGGGGAUCAAACAGG
rnacentral:rRNA from 1 species